rnacentral:misc_RNA from 1 species
UCCCCUUUUUAGAGGGCAGUCUGCCAAGUUCCGCGGAUGUCAAGGCCAGGUAAGGUUCUUCGCGUUGCAUCGAAUUAAUCCACAUAAUCCACCGCUUGUGCGGGUCCCCGUCAAUUCCUUUGAGUUUUAACCUUGCGGCCGUACUCCCCAGGCGGUCGACUUCACGCGUUAGCUUCGUUACUGAGAGUGUCAAACCCCCAACAACCAGUCGACAUCGUUUAGGGCGUGGACUAC